GAGGGUAGAGCUCAAGUGGUAGAGCACAUGCUUAGCAUGCACAAGGUCCUGGGUUCAAUCCCCAGUACCUCCU
rfam:Camelus ferus unplaced genomic scaffold scaffold340, whole genome shotgun sequence.